rnacentral:rRNA from 1 species
CCUACGGGCGGCAGCAGUGAGGAAUAUUGGUCAAUGGACGAGAGUCUGAACUAGCCAAGUAGCGUGAAGGAUGACUGCCCUAUGGGUUGUAAACUUCUUUUAUAUGGGAAUAAAAUGUUCCACGUGUGGGAUUUUGUAUGUACCAUAUGAAUAAGGAUCGGCUAACUCCGUGCCAGCAGCCGCGGUAAUACGGAGGAUCCGAGCGUUAUCCGGAUUUAUUGGGUUUAAAGGGAGCGUAGGUGGAUUGUUAAGUCAGUUGUGAAAGUUUGCGGCUCAACCGUAAAAUUGCAGUUGAAACUGGCAGUCUUGAGUACAGUAGAGGUGGGCGGAAUUCGUGGUGUAGCGGUGAAAUGCUUAGAUAUCACGAAGAACUCCGAUUGCGAAGGCAGUUCACUGGACUGCAACUGACACUGAGGCUCGAAAGUGUGGGUAUCAAACAGGAUUAGAUACCCGGGUAGUC